CAUAUGCCAUGGCAUGCUUUUUGCUACGAAACCGCAGCCAUCUAGUCACUCGCCAGAGAAGGAUGAGAAACUGCACCCCAGCGAGAGGGACUGCCUCACAUCAGCAACCAAAUCCGUUGGUCACCGAAUUCAGUAAUCUCCGUCUCUUUGUCCAUUCUCUCUGACAAGCAUGUUCUCCUAUGGGACACGAAGUACAUGAAGAGGAAUGAAGAAGCCCAUGUUUUAUGGUCGUCUCCAGGGUGGAGAAUUUAAUUUAUAAGUAAUGAAGUGGCAUCUGACACGUGACAAGCUGCUCCUGUUUGCACAGCAACUUCAACAUUGUGUACUGUGAUCACGGCAUAGUUCAGAGCUCCACAGAAAAGAAGCAAACCACUUUGAGGAUUCACUACAUAAGAGACUAUUGGAUACUGAAGGACUGUUCUGUCAAGGAAGAUCACAGCUUCAUCCAAGCCUUAGUCACAUUGAUUCUUAAGACUAAAGAGCGACUAACAAUAUCCCAUGUGCACAAAUUAUGUAUCUAUUAAAUGGCCAACAUACGUUUUCACUUUGUUUAAUUUCAAAUUAUUGCUAGACUUCUUUAUACUGCCACUUUUAAAAAGAUUAAAACAAUUACUUUAGAAAUUGUUUGGGUGGUGUUCCCAAGUUCACUUAAGCCUGCAAUGUGAAAUAUUGCCUAUUCUGUGUAACUGCAAAAAUUUUCUUGCAAAAUUAACUCCUCCUCUAUUGCCUGUCUCUUUUUAU